rnacentral:lncRNA from 1 species
CGGCGUGGGGUCGGGUCGGGUCGGGUGCUGCGGGGCGGCGGAGACUGGGGGGGCGUAGGAAGGAGGGGAUAAAAACCCCACUGUGUCCACACUGUGACCGGAGUCUCCUGCCUUCCCUGCUCACCCGGCGCCGGUGCCGAGCUCCGGGCCUCAGCUCCGUUCCCGGGAGCAGCGGGCCAGCGCUGCCUGCGUCCGCGGGGGAGCGCAGCGGAGCCGCUGCCGUCCCGCAACUUCCCCCGGAGCCGAGCGGAGCGCAGCAUGCGGGGCAGGGGCUGGAGGCGGCGGCGGGGCCGGCAUCGUGCUCCCCGGACAUGAGGCGGCCAUCGGAAGCUCCAGAAAACAAAAAUACCAGGCAAGACCUGCUAUUUUGAGCACAAGCAACAGCAAUUGGCAAAUAACUUCUGGUCUGGAGCUGAAGAGCCACAGGAUUACAUCUGUCUGUACACAGGUGUUCCCAAACAUCAUCAAAGCAUCCUUACAAUGACAACCCAGGAUAAAGUACACCAAACCAAUCUCUGUAUCCUCUCUUUAAAAGCACCUGACAUUUUCCUACAGUUCUGAGGACAUCUGAGAAAUGGAGCAAUUUUUCUGUGUAUCCUUUGUCUUAUUUUCUCUCUUCCAGAUAAACUUUCAGUAAAUUAUACACUCAUUCCAUGAAGAUGCAGACUGACUGGGAUUUCAGAAUGGGCUAAGUUACAAGUGUGUAAACCUAGAGUGACAGCUGCACAGUCAGUAAUGUUCCUUUAGAUUCAGGCUGGUUCAGCUGAGAUCAGAUUCCAGCCAAACUGACAUUUAUGUGUACAGAAAAUGUAGGUCUCCUUCCAAAGACCUGCCACUGCACAUAUGAGGGAUGUGUGAGCAUGAGGCAGAAUUCCUGCAGGAUUCCUCUGCAUCACAGAUUGUCUGGCAUUCAAACAGUUAAUUUUUUACUUCUUUCUGUGGCUACACUGUGAUUCCAUAAGUAGAGAACAUAUGGUUUACAAAAUACUGACUCCUCUGAGCCACAUCCCUGUGAUUUAAGCUAAGGUCAAAUUUUACAGAUUAAAUAUUACCCUUCUACAAAGUGUCUGCCUUAUGUGUCUUGAGAUCUGGAAUUUAAAAAUAAAUCAGCUUAUCUUAGUCCCUCA